GAUCAAAACCUUUGAUGCAAAUCCACGGAGCGAUCACGAACGUUGAACGAUGACAACGUCUCUACUCAGUCCACACGAACGGAUUCCUUCAAUCUCAGUGCUAGCUGGUACGAAUGAAAGCUUUGAGUGAGAGAGAGAGAGAGCGAGAAAACGAAAAUAAUGCAACCGCCAAAAAAAUGCUUCUGCACAAGGGUUCUAUUUAUAGAACCACUUGUGUGGGCUUCAAGCUAAAAAGCCCACUUAAGUGUAUUUUG
rnacentral:lncRNA from 1 species